rnacentral:rRNA from 1 species
AUUGAACGCUGGCGGCAGGCUUAACACAUGCAAGUCGAGCGGGGUGAUGGUGCUUGCACUAUCACUUAGCGGCGGACGGGUGAGUAAUGCUUAGGAAUCUGCCUAUUAGUGGGGGACAACAUCUCGAAAGGGAUGCUAAUACCGCAUACGUCCUACGGGAGAAAGCAGGGGAUCACUUGUGACCUUGCGCUAAUAGAUGAGCCUAAGUCGGAUUAGCUAGUUGGUGGGGUAAAGGCCUACCAAGGCGACGAUCUGUAGCGGGUCUGAGAGGAUGAUCCGCCCCACUGGGGCUGAGACACGGCCCAGACUCCUACGGGAGGCAGCAGUGGGGAAUAUUGGACAAUGGGGGGAACCCUGAUCCAGCCACGCCGCGUGUGUGAAGAAGGCCUUAUGGUUGUAAAGCACUUUAAGCGAGGAGGAGGCUCUUUUGGUUAAUACCCAAGAUGAGUGGACGUUACUCGCAGAAUAAGCACCGGCUAACUCUGCGCCAGCAGCCGCCGUAA